UACGGGGGGGGGCAAGCGUUGUUCGGAAUUACUGGGCGUAAAGGGCUCGUAGGCGGCCAACUAAGUCGGAUGUGAAAUCCCCAAGCUUAACUUGGGAACUGCAUCCGAUACUGGAUGGCUUGAAUCCGGGAGAGGGAUGCAGAAUUCCAGGUGUAGCGGUGAAAUGCGUAGAUAUCUGGAGGAAUACCGGUGGCGAAGGCGGGUCUCUGGGCAACUACUGACGCUGAGGAGCGAAAAGCGUGGGGGAGCGAACAGG
rnacentral:rRNA from 1 species